rnacentral:tRNA from 2 species
GGUACCAUAGCUCAGUUGGUAGAGCAAUGGACUGAAAAUCCAUGUGUCGCUAGUUCGAAUCUCGCUGGUACCA